GGGUCAGUAACACGUAGUCAACAUGGCCAGGGGACGUGGAUAACCUCGGGAAACUGAGGAUAAACCGCGAUAGGCCAAGGUUUCUGGAAUGGACCAUGGUCGAAACCUAUACGGCCCCUGGAUUGGACUGCGGGCGAUCAGGGUGGUGGUGAGGUAAUGGCCCACCAAACCUGGAACCGGUACGGGCUUUGAGAGAAGGAGCCCGGAGAUGGGCACUGAGACAAGGGCCUAGGCCCUAUGGGGCGCAGAGGCGCGAAAAUUCUGCAAUAGGCGAAAGCUUGACAGAGUUACUCUGAGUGAUGGCCGCUAAGGGCAUCUUUUGGCACCUCUAAAAAUGGUGGAGAAUAAGGGGGGGGCAAGUCUGGUGUCAGCCGCCGCGGGUAAUACCAGCACCCCGAGGGGGCGGGACGAUUAUUGGGCCUAAAGCAUCCGUAGCUUGGUCUGCAAGCCUUCCCGUUAAAUCCCACCUGCUUAACAGAUGGGGCUGCGGGAGAAUACUACAGGGGCUAGGGAGGGGGGGAGAGGGCAAGCGGGAACUCAGUGGGGAAGGGGGAAAAUCCUCUGGAUCCACUUGAAGACCCCCCAGGGGGAAGGCGGGUUGGCCAGAACGCGCCUCGACGGUGAGGGGUGGAAAACUGGGGGGAGCAAAACCGCAUUAAAAUACCCGGGGAGUCCCAGCUUGUAAACGAUUGCGAACUUCGGUGAUGGGGUUGGGCUUUUGGCGCCAACCCCAAGUGCCCGCAGGGAAGCCCGUUAAAGUUUUUCCCCCCUGGGGAGUACGGUCGCAAGCCUGAAACUAAAAGGAAUUGGCGGGGGGGGGGCCACCAGGGGUGAAGCCUCGGUUCAAUUGGAGUCAACUCCGGGAGUCUUUCCUCGUGCCACAGCCGUGUGAAGGUCAAGCUGAAGACUUUCCCACCCAACCUGAGAGGAGGUGCAUGGCCGUCGCCACCUCGUGCCGUGAGGUGUCCUGUUAAGUCAGGUAACGAGCAAGAUCCCUGCCUCUAGUUGCUACCCCCGUUCUCAGGAACAGUGGGGCUAAUUAGAGGGACCGCCGCCGCUAAGGCGGAGGAAGGAGGGGGCUACGGCAGGUCAGUAUGCCCCGAAACCCUCGGGCCACACGCGGGCUGCAAUGGUAAGGACAACGGGUUCCGAUCCCGAAAGGGGGAGGCAAUCCCACAAACCUUACCUCAGUUAUGAUUGAGGGCUGAAACUCGCCCUCAUGAAUAUGGAAUCCCUAGUAACCGCGUGUCACCAUC
rnacentral:rRNA from 1 species